rnacentral:rRNA from 1 species
AACGAACGCUGGCGGCAGGCCUAACACAUGCAAGUCGAGCGAAGCCUUCGGGCUUAGCGGCGGACGGGUGAGUAACGCGUGGGAACGUGCCCUUUGCUACGGAAUAGCCCCGGGAAACUGGGAGUAAUACCGUAUGUGCCCUUCGGGGGAAAGAUUUAUCGGAAAAGGAUCGGCCCGGGUUGGAUUAGGUAGUUGGUGGGGUAAUGGCCUACCAAGCCGACGAUCCAUAGCUGGUUUGAGAGGAUGAUCAGCCACACUGGGACUGAGACACGGCCCAGACUCCUACGGGAGGCAGCAGUGGGGAAUCUUAGACAAUGGGGGAAACCCUGAUCUAGCCAUGCCGCGUGAUCGAUGAAGGCCUUAGGGUUGUAAAGAUCUUUCAGUGGGGAAGAUAAUGACUGUACCCACAGAAGAAGCCCCGGCUAACUCCGUGCCAGCCGCCGCGGUAAAAC